CGUGUCAUCGUGUCCCUUGGGGGCAACCCCUCCAUUGAACCCUGCGAAAGCAGUUUUUUUUUUUUGAUUCGCAUCCGAAAUCAACAGACCGGCUCCGGCCAACCCCAGAAACGGCUCCGGCCAACCCCAGAAACGGCUCCGGCCACGAACCCCAAGAAACGGCUCCGGCCAUGAACCCCAAGAAACGGCUCCGGCCAUGAACCCCAAGAAACGGCUCCGGCCACGAACCCCAAGAAACGGCUCCGGCCACAAACCCGAUAGUCAUUCAGUUGAUCUGUCAAAACGAUAGGUGUGAGCGCUACCUCAAAAGCCAAAAAUCGCUACCAAGUGCAAGUUAAGAUGUGGUUGAAAGCUCGGUGAUUAAGUCUUCGAUCAGGUUUCUAGGUGUCCUGUUAAAACCCUAGGAUGAUUUUAGUUGUCAACGUCUUGAAAUGCGGCUGUCCUGAUGAGACUACGUGAUUAUGACUAGCGUCGAAACACUACCAUCGAGAGAAGAUGGUGGUGUAGACAGCCCCUAGUCUUACAUAGUAAUAUAUUGUACGAGUACCAGUUCCAAAGUACAAGUAGUUCACUCGGUUUUGUUCUGAAAUUGUAUAAUUCAGAGUCGUGCAGACAAGUGCAUCAUUGCAUAACUAAGAACUCGAACUGUUUCUACAC
rnacentral:misc_RNA from 1 species